rnacentral:rRNA from 1 species
UUUAUGGAGAGUUUGAUCCUAGCUCAGGAUGAACGCUGGCGGCGUGCCUAAUACAUGCAAGUCGAGCGAACGGACGAGAAGCUUGCUUCUCUGAUGUUAGCGGCGGACGGGUGAGUAACACGUGGAUAACCUACCUAUAAGACUGGGAUAACUUCGGGAAACCGGAGCUAAUACCGGAUAAUAUUUUGAACCGCAUGGUUCAAAAGUGAAAGACGGUCUUGCUGUCACUUAUAGAUGGAUCCGCGCUGCAUUAGCUAGUUGGUAAGGUAACGGCUUACCAAGGCAACGAUGCAUAGCCGACCUGAGAGGGUGAUCGGCCACACUGGAAC